GUGUGUGUGUGUUCUUUUACUGUCAGAUGCCCUUGGAACACACAUCAGUGCCGGCGGAUCCCAUCAGACCUGUCUGUGUUCUCGGUGGAUGAACGCUGCUGGAGUGUGUCCACCGGUUUGACACCUGACACCCAUCAGAAAGCCCCUUGCUAAUGCUACACACACACACACACACACACACGCAGAGGUUUGUUUUUACGGUGGUUACCUGUUGUACAUAUGUAUGCAUACACCAGAAACCUCUUUUAUUCAUAUAGGACACAGUUUUUUUGGGUGGUGGGUUAUUUAUUCUCAGCACUGCAGUGAUUAGCACUGAUUAGCAUGGUGAUGGUGGUGUAUGAGGUGUUAGUGAGUGUUGUGCUGAUAGUACAGUGAGUGGAUCAGAUACUGCAGCAGUGCUGCUGGUGUUUUUAACCACUGUGUUUAAUCUCUCACUGUCCUCCACUCUAUUACAAACUCCUACCUACAGCUAAAACACCCUGUAGAUAAAGUAAAGUCAGAGACAGAAGCUCUGAAUCUGUACCUGCACAGAUUACAGCGUUAAUCAUCCUCUAGUCUUUCAUCAGUGGCCACAGGACACUGCCCACAGAAUGCUGCCCGCAGGAUGUUGUCCACAGAAUGAUGCCCAAAGGAUGCUGCCCACAAGACUCUUGCUUGUAUAUUUCAGUGGGGAGCUUGUUGAGAACAGUUGAGAGAUGUGCCCUACAUUUCCCAGUCCCUCCCUCUCAAUGGGACCAGAAGAGAAAAAAAAACAGAAAGGCCCUAAAUGUCAGAAGUGAGCGGAGGUGAAGUGAGUUUCCCCCAGCAGGGAGUUUAUCCUCAGUCCCAGAGCAGCUGAGCUGAUCCUGGGUCAGGUAUAAUGCUCUGUGAAAGCUCAAUCAAGAGAAAAGCACAUGAGCUGUAAAUGAUCAUGGGGCGUGUGAAUGAGGACGGGCCGGGACGCCCACCUGACCCGGCCGUUACACAGCGACAAGGCCUCAUGAGCUCUACAGCAGAACUGCUCACCAAACCGGAGAAACACCUCGUAACACAGGAGACUCUUCAACACUGGUAUAGCAUUCGAUAAGCUGUGGAUGCUGGAGAUCAGCAUACUGCUGAUGCACUAAGACCCUGUUCACACCUUGCACGAACAUGCAUCCUGUGUGAUCUGAUCAUAAGUGGGCAGAACAAAUUACAGGUGUGACCAGGUUACAGUACAUCUCGAGGAU